rnacentral:rRNA from 1 species
GAUGAACGCUGGCGGCGUGCCUAAUACAUGCAAGUCGAGCGAACAGACGAGGCGCUUGCUCCUCUGACGUUAGCGGCGGACGGGUGAGUAACACGUGGAUAACCUACCUAUAAGACUGGGAUAACUUCGGGAAACCGGAGCUAAUACCGGAUAAUAUAUUGAACCGCAUGGUUCAAUAGUGAAAGACGGUUUUGCUGUCUCUUAUAGAUGGAUCCGCGCCGCAUUAGCUAGUUGGUAAGGUAACGGCUUACCAAGGCGACGAUGCGUAGCCGACCUGAGAGGGUGAUCGGCCACACUGGAACUGAGACACGGUCCAGACUCCUACGGGAGGCAGCAGUAGGGAAUCUUCCGCAAUGGGCGAAAGCUUGACGGAGCAACGCCGCGUGAGUGAUGAAGGUCUUCGGAUCGUAAAACUCUGUUAUUAGGGAAGAACAAAUGUGUAAGUAACUAUGCACGUCUUGACGGUACCUAAUCAGAAAGCCACGGCUAACUACGUG